AUGACGCAUCGUAAUUUUGACACUAUUGCUAUUCUGAUGCACUGGCGGCUGUGGAGGGAAAGGAACUCCAGGAUAUUCGAUCAGAUAGCGAGCAGCGCGGACAGGGUGCUGGAUCUGGCCUGUGAAGACAUUCCCGUUUGGCGAUCGGCGGGAUGCAUUGUAGACCUCGGUGCCUAG
rnacentral:rRNA from 1 species